rnacentral:rRNA from 1 species
GACGAACGCUGGCGGCGUGCCUAAUACAUGCAAGUCGAGCGCUUAAGGUUGGUUCUUGUAUCAACUGGAUGAGCAGCGAACGGGUGAGUCACGCGUGUGUAAUCUGCCUUUGAGGGGGGGACCACAUUUCGAAACGAAUUCUAACACCGCAUAAAAGCUUUAAACACAGGUUUUAUGUUUGAAAGAUGCAAUUGCUUCACUCAAAGAUGAUCCCGCGUUUUAUUAGCUAGUUGGUGAGGUAAAGGCUCACCAAUGCGAUGGUACAUAGCCGGCCCGGGAGGGAGGACCGCUCACACGGGAACGGAGACACGGCCAAACCUCCUACGGGGGGAGGCAGAGGGGAACUUUGGACAUGGGGGGAAGGCUGGACGCAGAAAGCCGGGGGAGGGAAAGAAGUUCUCGGGUCGGAAAACUCCGUUGGUAGAGAAGAACGUUGGUGAGAGUGGAAAGCUCAUGAAGUGACGGUACCAACACAGAAAGCAACGGCUAACUACGUG